rnacentral:rRNA from 1 species
GCUCAGUAACACGUGGAUAACCUACCCUUAGGACUGGGAUAACCCUGGGAAACUGGGGCUAAUACCGGAUAGGCAAUUAUUCCUGCAAUGGUUUUUUGUUUAAAUGUUUUUUCGCCUAAGGAUGGGUCUGCGGCCGAUUAGGUAGUUGGUUAGGUAAUGGCUUACCAAGCCGUUGAUCGGUACGGGCUGUGAGAGCAAGAGCCCGGAGAUGGAACCUGAGACAAGGUUCCAGGCCCUACGGGGUGCAGCAGGCGCGAAACCUCCGCAAUGUGAGAAAUCGCGACGGGGGGAUCCCAAGUGCCAUUCUUAACGGGAUGGCUUUUCAUUAGUGUAAAAAGCUUUUGGAAUAAGAGCUGGGCAAGACCGGUGCCAGCCGCCGCGGUAACACCGGCAGCUCUAGUGGUAGCAAUUUUUAUUGGGCCUAAAGCGUCCGUAGCCGGUUUAAUAAGUCUCUGGUGAAAUCCUGUAGCUUAACUGUGGGAAUUGCUGGAGAUACUAUUAGACUUGAGACCGGGAGAGGUUAGAGGUACUCCCAGGGUAGAGGUGAAAUUCUGUAAUCCUGGGAGGACCGCCUGUUGCGAAGGCGUCUAACUGGAACGGUUCUGACGGUGAGGGACGAAAGUUAGGGGCGCGAACCGGAUUAGAUACCCGGGUAGUCCUAACUGUAAACGAUGCGUACUUKUUUUGGGGUGGCUUUGAGCUGCUCCAGUGCSGAAGGGAAGCUGUUAAGUCCGCCGCCUGGGRAG